rfam:Equus caballus chromosome 8, whole genome shotgun sequence.
UCUACGGCCAUACCACCCUGAGUGCGCCUGGUCUUGUCUGAUCUCAAAAGCUCAGCUGGUUGGGGUCUGGUUAGUACUUGGAUAGGAGGUUGAGGGCACUGGAUUUUUGUUAGAA